rnacentral:ribozyme from 1 species
UGCCCAGCAACUCCUAUCCCUGCCUCUUCACGGUACUGACGGGAGUACGAGCACCCUUAAGCAAGAUCGGGUAACCAACCUCGGUGGAAACUUUAGUCGUAUGCUGACAGGGAAAG